rnacentral:rRNA from 1 species
CGCGGCCUAUCAGCUUGUUGGUGGGGUGAUGGCCUACCAAGGCGACGACGGGUAGCCGGCCUGAGAGGGUGUCCGGCCACACUGGGACUGAGAUACGGCCCAGACUCCUACGGGAGGCAGCAGUGGGGAAUAUUGCACAAUGGGCGCAAGCCUGAUGCAGCGACGCCGCGUGGGGGAUGACGGCCUUCGGGUUGUAAACCUCUUUCACCAUCGGCGAAGCCGGGAGCUUUUGUUUCUGGUGACGGUAGGUGGAGAAGAAGCACCGGCCAACUACGUGCCAGCAGCCGCGGUAAUACGUAGGGUGCGAGCGUUGUCCGGAAUUACUGGGCGUAAAGAGCUCGUAGGUGGUUUGUCGCGUUGUCCGUGAAAUUCCCUGGCUUAACUGGGGGCG